AUGUUGCGUAUCAUUUUGAAACUAAGUUUUGUUUAAAUUAAAAUUAUCAUCAUGCAAUAGGUCCUACUAUGCCUUUGAAAUAGUUAAGAAGAACGUCAACCAAAAUCUCAGGAAACAUUUUACGAAAAAUGAAAGAAGAUUUAUGCCCAAUUGAACCCUUUAUUCCAACAUAUUUGACAAUGGCUGGAUACACAAAUGCCUUUCCUACACCUUUGUUCUUUGGCAAUAUCUGGUCAAAAGGAAAAUGGACUUGUUUUUGUACAAUUUUCACAAUUCUGAUGCUUCUUGGAGUUUUCAUCUUUGGAAAUGUAUUUGUGUUUAAAAACUACAAAUACAGAUAUUUAUGUGAUAAAAGUGCAUACUAUUUAGCAUUUUGGAACAUUAUUGUGACGUAUAUCUUUAUCCUAUUAAGUUUUUGUUGCGGUUGUUGUGCAGUUGCAUCUAAAGAACCCUAACUUUUGAAAUUUUGUUUAUAAUAAUUGUAUAAACUAAAUACCUUUCACAUU